GGCAGUGUAUGGGCCUAAAGUUGGAACAAGAUAGAACGAAAACCCUAAGAAGGCUUCAAUUGAGGUUAUUUGGAAGCCAAAAACGGGGUAUAUUGGCAAUGCAGAAAGGGAGUAUGAGAUGAUCCUUAAGAGAACAUUGCAUAGCAUCUGCCUUUUGAUGAUACAUCCGAACACCACAACCUCCGUUAUACUUCAGGUUGUCAACUAUGAUGGUGCUAUAUCUUUCAUGUCUAUUUCUGUAGCAUUUUAUGCAUUUUUAAUGAUUUUGAUAGAAAUAAUUAUAGGACCUGAUUUGUUUUAACUCCCUCCACCACAACUUUUCCAAGGCAAAAAGUGUUCAUUUUCUUUAGUUUUCUAACUUCAUGGAAGGGAAAUUAUAUGAUAAAAAGAAAUCUAGAAAGGGGGACGUUGUUGACAACUGUUAGGCAGAGGAUUGUAGUGGAAGAUCAAGGAUGGACCAAAGUUAAAAGGGAAAUCUGUAGGUCACUCUUAGGAAGAGUGGGUUACAUUGAUACA